UGGGGAAUAUUGGACAAUGGGCGCAAGCCUGAUCCAGCCAUGCCGCGUGAGUGAUGAAGGCCCUAGGGUUGUAAAGCUCUUUCACCGGUGAAGAUAAUGACGGUAACCGGAGAAGAAGCCCCGGCUAACUUCGUGCCAGCAGCCGCGGUAAUACGAAGGGGGCUAGCGUUGUUCGGAUUUACUGGGCGUAAAGCGCACGCAGGCGGACUUUUAAGUCAGGGGUGAAAUCCCGGGGCUCAACCCCGGAACUGCCUUUGAUACUGGAAGUCUUGAGUAUGGUGGAGGUGAGUGGAAUUCCGAGUGUAGAGGUUAAAUUCGUAGAUAUUCGGAGGAACACCAGUGGCGAAGGCGGCUCACUGAACCAAUACUGACGCUGAGGUGCGAAAGCGUGGGGAGCAAACAGG
rnacentral:rRNA from 1 species